rnacentral:rRNA from 1 species
CCAGACUCCUACGGGAGGCAGCAGUGGGGGAUAUUGCACAAUGGGGGAAACCCUGAUGCAGCGACGCCGCGUGAGCGAUGAAGUAUUUCGGUAUGUAAAGCUCUAUCAGCAGGGAAGAAAAUGACGGUACCUGACUAAGAAGCCCCGGCUAACUACAUGCCAGCAGCCGCGGUAAUACGUAGGGGGCAAGCGUUAUCCGGAUUUACUGGGUGUAAAGGGAGCGUAGACGGCGGCGCAAGCCAGAUGUGAAAGCCCGGGGCUCAACCCCGGGACUGCAUUGGGAACUGCCCCGCUCGAGUGCCGGAGGGGCAGGCGGAAUUCCUAGUGUAGCGGUGAAAUGCGUAGAUAUUAGGAGGAACACCAGUGGCGAAGGCGGCCUGCUGGACGGUGUACUGACGCUGAGGCUCGAAAGCGUGGGGAGCAAACAGGAUUAGAUACCCCGGUAAUA